ensembl:lncRNA
AUGUCAUUACUCCCCUGGAAAUCCACUGUCGGGCCCCCACCUUCAUGUCAGAUAUUGAAAAGCAAGGAGAGCACAAACUUCUCAGUGCAUAACUCAUGCCCCCUGCCCCAUGGAUGGCUGGGUGCGGAGCUAUUGAGGAGAUGGAGAAGAGCACUUGCUGAUAGAAGCCAUGGCAGUCAGACACAUAAACUGGAUCUAGUGCCGGGCAGCUCUGAUUUCCAGAUGUUGCCCUCCGUAAGAGAGUACAUUGCAUGGCAAAAGAAAGCUGGGAAAAUGCUUCUUCCUCAUGAUUUUUCACUUGGUGAUACUUUCUGUAGAGUUCCUGUCCAAAAGCAGAACUCGGUGAUCAAGGCAGUUGAAGAACGAGUGAAGCCAGCUCCUUCCAAGAGCGAGGGAGGUUCCUGUGUGGAGAGAACCCUCGCACCUUGGGCUUCCUCUGACACUUCAGCCAUCAUGGCUCAGCAAGGAGAUGACCGUGGUUCCUAUUCCUGCUCUGUGAGAGGAAAGAAGCAGCACGGCGCGGUUCCCCAUGUUUGGGAGCAGCAGCCAGCAGGCUGCCGGAGAUCCAACAGCGCCUUGCAGUGCACAGAGGGACGCGAUGGGAACAGAGCGUCCUUACUGCCACACAAAAGUGAGUUUCUUCAGUCCUUCCUCUGUCAUGAAGGAUGGAGGAUUGAAUUUUGAGUAUUACUUCUGAGCGGUUGCAGUGCUGCAGGGGAUGUCAAGUAAGCAUCCAUUUGGAGUGCAGGAAGGGGCAGCGAGAAGUGAACUAUCAGUUUGUGUUUGGGCUGUCAAAGUAGCAUCUUUCUGUUUUCUGGUGGGUUUACUGGACAAUACUGCUGCCUGCUGGUGUCUGUGAAAUCAAUACAUGAUCUGUUGUAGUGACGGAGCCUGCGUGUCCAUGGAAUGGUCCAUGGAAGGAGUGUUGGAAAUAUCCAAAUAAUUUAUCAGGAUGCUAUCUCUGAUAAAGUAGAUUUUAUUUGCAAUUGCAAUGGUGGGCCUCCUGCUAGCAGGAGAGCCCCUAGUAAAACGGUGUUACAACUUUUGAUGCCCUAUUGUCUGACGCUUCUCUCUUUCUCCCCUAGUUCCUCACUGGCUGAGUACUUUAGGUUCACAAUCUUCUCGAUGCUUUGCUAAAAAUACAAACACUGGAAAAACAUAAAUCUUUAAGCAUAAGCUUCUAAUUAGUUAAUUAACUUCUGACCCUCACUCCACACUUGGUCAUUGUUUCUGGAUAUCUGCUCGUCCUCCCUUGCAUAGAGACAAGCUCGGAAGGAGGACAGAGGGGAGUAUCUUGAUGCCUGCCUGUCAUAUUCCAACCUUCUCACGGGGUUGUGACAGUCUGACCUUCUGUAGAGGCCCUAGCUUCUUUGAUGUUUGUUAAAUGUGUUUUUCUUUUGCUGGGAGUUUCUUAUCCUGACAGAACAACCCUACAAUAUGUUUUCUAAUCCCUAACACUAUACCCACAUUGUCUGGAACAUUUAACAGCUAUUGCAGUUUUGCAAGAAAGAAUUAAUCACAUAAUUCAGCAAUUGUGUUUCUAAAACAUGCUGCUAACAUAUACAGUAUUUCUACUUUUUAGAUAACUAUUUCUAAGGGUAAGUUACAGAAUGUAAAUACAUUAUGUUUGACUUCUUCAAACCAAUUGCCCUUUUUAAUAUCUAAUGCAGACACAACAUUCCAU